rnacentral:rRNA from 1 species
UACAGAGGGUGCGAGCGUUACUCGGAAUUACUGGGCGUAAAGCGCACGUAGGCGGCUUGGUAUGUCGGGUGUGAAAUCCCCGGGCUCAACCUGGGAACUGCAUCCGAGACUGCCUUGCUAGAGUAUGGGAGAGGGAAGUGGAAUUUCCGGUGUAGCGGUGAAAUGCGUAGAUAUCGGAAGGAACAUCAGUGGCGAAGGCGACUUCCUGGACCAAUACUGACGCUCAGGUGCGAAAGCGUGGGGAGCAAACAGG